rnacentral:rRNA from 1 species
GAUCCUGGCUCAGAACGAACGCUGGCGGCAGGCCUAACACAUGCAAGUCGAACGCUCUCCGGAGGGAGUGGCAGACGGGUGAGUAACACGUGGGAAACUACCUAGUGGUACGGAAUAUGAGGGAAACUUCGGCUAAUACCGUAUAAGCCCUUUGGGGGAAAGAUUUAUCGCCAUUAUGUGCCCGCGUCGGAUUAGCUUGUUGGUAGGGUAAUGGCCUACCAAGGCGACGAUCCAGCUGGUCUGAGAGGAUGAUCAGCCACACUGGGACUGAGACGCGGCCCAGACUCCUACGAGGCAGCAGUGGGGAAUAUUGGACAAUGGGCGAAAGCCUGAUCCAGCCAUGCCGCGUGUGACGAAGGCCUUAGGGUUGUAAAGCUCUUUUAGCAGGGACGAUAAUGACGGUACCUAGAAUAAGCCCCGGCUAACUUCGUGCCAGCAGCCGCGGUAAUACGAAGGGGGCUAGCGGUUCGGAAUCACUGGGCGUAAAGCGCACGUAGGUGGAUCAAUUAGUUGAGGGUGAAAUCGGGGCUUAACCUCGGAACUGCCUUCAAUACUGUUGAUCUUGAGUCCGAGAGAGGUGAGGAAUUCCUAGUGUAGAGGUGAAAUUCGUAGAUAUUAGGAAGAACACCAGUGGCGAAGGGCUCACUGGCUCGGUACUGACGCUGAGGUGCGAAAGCGUGGGGAGCAAACAGGAUUAUACCCUGGUAGUCCACGCCGUAAACGAUGAUUGCUAGCUGUCAGGUGGCAUGCCAUUUUGGCGCAGCUAACGCAUUAAGCAAUCCGCCUGGGGAGUACGGUCGCAAGAUUAAAACUAAGGAAUUGACGGGGGCCCGCACAAGCGGUGGGGCAUGUGGUUUAAUUCGACGCAACGAAGAACCUUACCAGCUCUUGACAUUUACUGAACGUUUCUGGAGACAGAUUCAUCCUAGAUAGGCAGUAGGACAGGUGCUGCAUGGCUGUCGUCAGCUCGUGUCGUGAGAUGUUGGGAAGUCCCGCAACGAGCGCAACCCUCGCCAUUAGUUGCCAGCAUUUAGUUGGGCACUCUUGGGACUGCCGGUGAUAAGCCGGAGGAAGGUGGGGAUGACGUCAAGUCAUCAUGGCCCACGGGCUGGGCUACACACGUGCUACAAUGGCGGUGACAGUGGGCAGCCACUCAGCAAUGGAGCUAAUCCCAAAAAGCCGUCUCAGUUCGGAUUAGUCUCUGCAACUCGAGACUAUGGUUGGAAUCGCUAGUAAUCGUGGAUCAGCAUGCCACGGUGAAUACGUUCCCGGGCCUUACACACCGCCCGUCACACCACGGGAGUUGGUUUUACCCGAAGGUAGUGCGCUAACCGCGGAGGCAGCUAACCACGGUAGGGUCAGCGACUGGGGUGAAGUC